CCUUACCUGGCCUUGACAUGCAGAGAACUUUCCAGAGAUGGAUUGGUGCUUCGGGGAACUUUGACACAGGUGCUGCAUGGCUGUUGUCAGCUCGUGUCGUGAGAUGUUGGGUUAAGUCCCGUAACGAGCGCAACCCUUGUCCUUAGUUACCAGCAGUUCGGGUGGGCACUNUAGGGAGACUGCCGGUGACAAACCGGAGGAAGGUGGGGAUGACGUCAAGUCAUCAUGGCCCUUACGGCCAGGGCUACACACGUGCUACAAUGGCGGAUACAAAGGGUGGCCAACCCGCGAGGGGAAGCUAAUCCCAUAAAGUCGUUCGUAGUCCGGA
rnacentral:rRNA from 1 species